UAUGUAUAGGAUCUACCUAGUAGUACGGAAUAAUUGUUGGAAACGGCAACUAAUACCGUAUACGCCCUACGGGGGAAAAAUUUAUUGCUAUUAGAUGAGCCUAUGUUAGAUUAGCUAGUUGGUGGAGUAAUAGCCUACCAAGGCAAUGAUCUAUAGCUGAUCUGAGAGGAUGAUCAGCCACACUGGAACUGAGAUACGGUCCAGACUCCUACGGGAGGCAGCAGUGGGGAAUAUUGGACAAUGGGCGAAAGCCUGAUCCAGCCAUGCCGCAUGAGUGAAGAAGGCCUUUGGGUUGUAAAGCUCUUUUAGUGAGGAAGAUAAUGACGGUACUCACAGAAGAAGUCCUGGCUAACUCCGUGCCAGCAGCCGCGGUAAUACGGAGAGGGCUAGCGUUAUUCGGAAUUAUUGGGCGUAAAGGGCGCGUAGGCUGAUUAAUAAGUUAAAAGUGAAAUCUCGAGGCUUAACCUUGGAAUUGCUUUUAAAACUAUUAAUCUAGAGAUUGAAAGAGGAUAGAGGAAUUCCUGAUGUAGAGGUAAAAUUCGUAAAUAUUAGGAGGAACACCAGUGGCGAAGGCGUCUAUCUGGUUCAAAUCUGACGCUGAAGCGCGAAGGCGUGGGGAGCAAACAGGAUUAGAUACCCUGGUAGUCCACGCUGUAAACGAUGAAUGUUAAAUAUGGGAAGUUUACUUUCUGUAUUACAGCUAACGCGUUAAACAUUCCGCCUGGGGACUACGGUCGCAAGAUUAAAACUCAAAGGAAUUGACGGGGACCCGCACAAGCGGUGGAGCAUGUGGUUUAAUUCGAUGCAACGCGAAAA
rnacentral:rRNA from 1 species